UUGUGGUAUUUCUGAUUAUAAAAAUUCAGGAGUAAAAGUAUCAAUACAAUGGAUGCUAUAUAUGGUGACAUUAAGUAUAAAAUUAGUAAUAUAUUGUUUUUUUAUGCAUGAAAAUAAUAAUGACAAAUUUGAUAGUAGUGUUUUUCUAUAUUUAAGUAGGGAUAUGUUGGCUUAUAAUUUAAUAUACUUAACCCCUUUUAUUUAUUUAUUAUUUUUAUUAAGAAGUAAAAAUUUAUUGGAAAAUAUAUUUAAUAAUAAAAUUAUAAAUGAUUAUAUUUUAUGUAUAGAUAUGAAUAUAAUAAACUUAUUUGAUAUAAUUGACUUAGUUUAUAUGUAUACACAUUUAACAAGUUCUUAUAAAAUAAAAACUAUAUGGGCAUUUUAUAACAUUGACUUUACGUUUGUUAUGAUUAUAUUAAUAUUAUGUAUAAUGUUUUUAAUAGGAUUUUAUUUUCCUAUAUAUACAAAUAUUGAAAAAGCAUAUAACUCUAAUGAAUAUGUUACUUUAUAUAGUUUAAAUAGAAAAAGAAGUCAAAAAGCUAAAAAUGAAAAAAAUAGACAAAAAAAAAAAAAAAUAUAUAUGAUCCAAAAAUACAAGAAAAAAAUGAUGAGUCUGUUAAUAAAUAUAAUAACCAAAUAGUAUUAAAAUCGAUAAAUACCAAGAUGUUACAUCCUAAUGAAUCAAAAAAUGUAAAUAUGUUGUCCCAUUAUAACGGUAAAUCAUUAUAUAACAAAUCAUUAACAAUAAAGGAUGGAUCAAUAUCAGAACAAAAUUAUACAAACAAUAUUAACCAUAGUAAUGGUGGUAAUAAUAACAUGUAUAAUAAUCAUGGUAACAAAAAAAAAAAAAAAAAAAAUUUAACAAAAUCGGUAUCGAAACAAUCAUCGAGUAAUUUAUCUUCCAUAUCUAAAGACUUCAAAAAUAAAGUAAAAACAAGCCAUACUUCAUCAACAACAUUAUCUCUUACAUCCAGUUCAUCAUGUUCGAACUCAAUGUCUUCUUCCUCUUCUUCUUUUUCUUCUUCCUCUUCUUCUUCUUCUUCUUCACCUUUUUCUUCUUCUUCUUCUUCUUCUUCCUCUUCACCUUCUUCUUCUUCUUCUUCUUCUUCUUCUUCAUCCACUCUUUCCUCUUCGAGUUUAUCCUCACAGGGUAACUCUUUUCCUUCACACUUCAAACAAAAUUCUUCUUUUUUUUCGAAUAAUGAGCAUGGUUACAACAGUAAAUAUAAUAAUCCACAUUUUCAAAGUUAUAAGGAUGUAUAUACAGAUAUAUAUAUAACAGCGAAGUUUCACUUUAUAGUUGGAUUUUUGUUAAUCGAUGUCCCUUUCUUAAUUUAUAGACUCAUAUUUUUUAUAAAAUACAAAAAUAUAAUGACUCUUAUCAUAAAAAAUAUUUUAUUUUUACUUUUUCGUUCUUACAAAUUAAACGAAUAUCGCUUUAUGGAAAAGGAAAAACAUAAAAAAAAUAAAAGAAACAUAAACUUAGAAAUUUAUAAUACUUCUAAUUUUGGCAGUGCAUCAACUGAUUAUAUACAUAAUUCUAGUUUUGAAAAAAAAAGGCAUAAAAGACAUAAAAAACAUAAAAAACAAAAGAACAAAAAAAAACUGUUAAAACCAAAUAUCAUCGGAUUCAAAUCAAAGUCGUCGGUGUUUGAAACAAUAGCAAACGCGUUCAAAGCAAAAUCACAUACGUUUAUAAAAAAUAAUAUAGACAUUGAAUUAGAAAAAGAACAAAAGGAUAAAACACUAAAUCAAAAAAAAAAAAAAAAAACUUCUGUACGUAUAGCGAAAACUAUAGGGAGUAAAGAAUUAAUACAAAAUCAGAAUGAGAAAAAAAAAUGUUUAUUUUUAAAAAAAAAAAAAAAAGAUAAAAAAUAAAAAAAAAAAAAAAAAAAGAUAUGGUAUAUUUAAAAUAUUUAAAGAUGAAUUUAAAGAAAAUAAAAAAAAACUUUUACUUGAUAAAUAUUAUGCA
ensembl:lncRNA